GACGAACGCUGGCGGCGUGCUUAACACAUGCAAGUCGAACGGUAAGGCUCCAGCUUGCUGGGGUACACGAGUGGCGAACGGGUGAGUAACACGUGGGUGACCUGCCCUUCACUUCGGGAUAAGCCUGGGAAACUGGGUCUAAUACCGGAUAGGACCAUGUUCUGGAUACUGUGGUGGAAAGUUUUUUCGGUGUGGGAUGGGCCCGCGGCCUAUCAGCUUGUUGGUGGGGUAAUGGCCUACCAAGGCGGCGACGGGUAGCCGGCCUGAGAGGGUGGACGGCCACAUUGGGACUGAGACACGGCCCAGACUCCUACGGGAGGCAGCAGUGGGGAAUAUUGCACAAUGGGCGGAAGCCUGAUGCAGCGACGCCGCGUGGGGGAUGACGGCCUUCGGGUUGUAAACUCCUUUCACCAGCGACGAAGGGUUUCUGACGGUAGAUGGAGAAGAAGCACCGGCUAACUACGUG
rnacentral:rRNA from 1 species